AGAAAAUAACGGUCCCUUUCUCUCCUUCCCAGUUUUCACCGAACCCUGAGAAUUCUGCAGCAGACAGGAAAAAUUAUAUGAGGCAUAAAUUUAGCAUGUUUGAGAUAAUUUUCCGUUUGAAAUAUUCUGUGUCCAACAAUUAACCAUCAACAAAUUAACCUGAGAGAUACGUCAAGAAUAUUUGAGAGAAAAUAGUCAGAGAGAGAAAUGGAUUGUUGGUACUGUUCUUGUUUGAAUGAAAGAUUUCGUGGCUGAUUAGCG
rnacentral:lncRNA from 1 species